GACGUAGGGCGCGAGCGUUGUCCGGAUUUAUUGGGCGUAAAGAGCUCGUAGGCGGUUUGUCGCGUCGUCUGUGAAAACCCACGGCUCAACUGUGGGCUUGCAGUCGAUACGGGCAGGCUAGAGUUCGGUAGGGGAGUCUGGAAUUCCUGGUGUAGCGGUGAAAUGCGCAGAUAUCAGGAGGAACACCGGUGGCGAAGGCGGGACUCUGGGCCGAUACUGACGCUGAGGAGCGAAAGCGUGGGGAGCAAACAGG
rnacentral:rRNA from 1 species